rnacentral:rRNA from 1 species
CAGUCGCCGCGGUAAUACGUAGGUUGCGAGCGUUAAUCGGAAUUACUGGGCGUAAAGCGUGCGCAGGCGGUUCGUUAAGACAGAUGUGAAAUCCCCGGGCUUAACCUGGGAACUGCAUUUGUGACUGACGGGCUAGAGUAUGGCAGAGGGGGGUAGAAUUCCACGUGUAGCAGUGAAAUGCGUAGAGAUGUGGAGGAAUACCGAUGGCGAAGGCAGCCCCCUGGGCCAAUACUGACGCUCAUGCACGAAAGCGUGGGGAGCAAACAGGAUUAGAUACCCGCGUAGUCCCUGUCUCUUAUAC